rnacentral:rRNA from 1 species
GACGAGGGGUCCUAGCGUUGUUCGGAAUCACUGGGCGUAAAGCGUAUGUAGGCGGCUUUCUAAGUCGGUUGUGAAAUCCCAUGGCUUAACCAUGGAAUUGCAUUCGAAACUGGAGAGCUUGAGUGUGGGAGAGAUUGGUAGAAUACCUGGUGUAGUGGUGAAAUACGUAGAUAUCAGGUGGAAUACCGGUGGCGAAGGCGGCCAAUUGGCCCAACACUGAACGCUGACGAUACGAAAGCGUGGGGAAUCAAACAGGGAUUAAGAAACCCGGU